GUCAACAGCCACUUCCUCCCUGGGGCUUAACAGGCAUUCCUUGAAGCCUGCCCCGGGCAGUUAGUCCUUCCCUUUUGUGUGAACUCUCGGCUGUUUUCGUUGUCUGCACACAGAGCAGUGGUCUAGGGAGCGAAGGGUUUUGGAAUGGACCUUUUCCUUUCUUAGCUUGCUGUAGGGAUUGUGCUUCAGCUAAGUAAAGUGGAAAAACAGAAGUACAAAAGCAACAGCCCCAGAUCUAAGGGCACCGUAGCUCUGGAAUCUGGAUUUUAUUCCAGAUUCAACCCUCAGCAGGGAGUUGAAGUGGUCAGCCCUGUGCUUUACAAGGCUGAUUGGGCAGCACCCAUAGUAGAAUUGUCAAUAUAAAGUAAUUGAAAGGAUCAGAAUCCAGGGUUUUCGUUGUUUUUAAGUUUUUAAGUUUUAAAAACAAAGUUGUUUUUGUUCGUUUUUAAGUUUACUUCUCUUUAAUCGGUCUCACUUUAUUGACCAGGCUGGUUUCGAACUCCUGGGCUUAAGUGAUUUCUCCUGUCUCAGCUUCUCAAAGUGCUGGGAUUACAGGCGUGAGCCGCUGCACCCAGCCCAGAAUCCAGUUUUAAAGAGUUUAUUCAAGCCAAAAGCUGGGAAUGGCCAUCUGAGAAACACAGACUCUAGGAAAAUGGGGCCAGGGCCCUGAAGUUAAAAGUUAAAGUCUUGCUUACAUAGGCAGAAAGCAAAGACAUUUAGUAACCUUGUAGAACAUUUUCUUGUAUAACUUUUCUUGUUUUAACUUUCUUGUUUAACAUUUUCUAUGCAAGGCUGGUUUAUGAGUUACAACCUAUAAUUAAUUAUAGGUUGUUCCCCUGCCUCCACCUUGUUUUCUUUUCUCUACAGCUUGUUUUCAUUUCCUUUCCAAUUUAAGAAUGUGUUUAACAUUCUAUCCCAGACAAUGUGAUGGUCAUGAAGUCUCUGUCAGAGAGGAAAGAGGGAGUUAAUCUAUAAUGAAGAUCAACAGUGAAGAGGAAAGGGGUCUUCCCUGGAACGCUUCAGUCAUAUACGACAUUUUACACAACAAUAAUGGACCUGUGUAAGGAGGUAUGUGUGGGAGAAGAUUCCAGAAGGUCUUGAGACACUCCAGAUGAAGGUUGGUGUGGGGCUGUGCUGCUGGAGCACCAGAGAGUGAAAAGAGGUUAUCUCCCUCUGUGCCAGGCCAGAGUGCAGUGGUGCAAUCACGGCUCACUGUAGUCUCAACCUCCUGGGCUCAAGAGAUCCUCCCACUUCAGCCUCCCAAGCAGCUAAGACUACAGACAUGUCCUUAACCUUGGCACAACAAAUCUCUAAAUCGAUUGAGACCUGUCUCAGAUACUUCUUGGUUUACAAGAUGGAGGCUGAAAUUAAAGAGAAAGAUCCUCACUCAACUCACAGAGGAGCAGAAUGGGAAGAGGACUUAGUGAGAAUUCCCUGAACACAGGAGAAAACCGAAGCCCAGAGAGUGGAUGGCCAAGUCCAAGGUCACACAGCCAAGUGCAUCCGAGCAGCGCAGGAUCCAGGUUUCCUGCCCCAGUGCUCUUUCUGCAGCCCAUGCCACCUGUUUUCAUGCUAUCUCAGUUCACCUUCCAGCUACACACCUGCAAUCAGAAACAGAAAGUCUGAGAGUGUGUGUGGAGCCAAAGAGGGGACAGCAGUGGUUAGAAGCAAGGCACAAGUCAUACCUACAUUCAAGGAGAGGGGACCAUGCAAAGGAUAAACUGCAGAGAGACAACAGAUUUACAUCCCAGACACAUUCACACUGGGCCAAGAGCAGCUGCCAUUGCAGAUUCGAGUCACGUCCUUUUUUCCUUCCUUCUCCUUCUUGGAGUUACAACAGAAGCUGGGGAGGUGAGAGUGCAGAAAGGACGUGGAUGAAGCAGAGAGGCACGUGCCUGUCUCAUUCGCCUCUGGAUCUGCUGCAUCCAGGACUGUGCCAGCACAAAGUGGGAGCCCGAUAAAUAUUUAUUGAAGAAAUGAAAGGUGACAAAAGGCAGAAGGAGGGAGACCCCAAAAAGAGCAGCACAGGAAGCUGCCCCCUCAAACACUAAAGGCUCCUGGAGCUAUUCACAGUGCUGGGGAACAACCAGAGGAGGAGGAGGACAGAGGGAGAGAAUACUUUUUUUAAAAAUCCCAAACAAAACCAAAUUCUAUACAUGUAUAUCUCGAGUGAGUAAAUGUGUAACACUCAGCA
rnacentral:lncRNA from 1 species